GCCUUCGUGGUGUAACGGUAGCACACUCGACGCGUAUUCGAGAAGUUCAGUUUCGAAUCCCGUCGAGGGCA
rnacentral:tRNA from 1 species